rnacentral:piRNA from 1 species
CACCACUGAACUGACAUGCCCAGCCCU